rnacentral:lncRNA from 1 species
CGGACAAGGUGCGUGGCAAACGAACCCAGUCCGAUGGAGACUGACAUUGUACAAACAAAAACGUCCAGUCGAAAGCGAUCUUGUUGGUACUUUCAACAGCACCUCGUGGUUCUCCAGAGCGUACUCGCAGGCGUAAUUCAGAGAGACUCACCUACGAAUCUUCGGACUCGUUGGCGCCCGCGCUCGCCGCGUCACCCUUUUUGUUCGGCCUUCAUCGCCCCGUGUAUCCCGCCUACCGUGCCACUGCGUGGUACAGGCCCAGCGCACAAGCGGAAAUCACAACCGGAAAGAGGGAACGAAUGGCGGCAGUUAUCGCGACAAUUACAGGACCGGGGGAAUUUGUGAUCAGUUGCUUUGUUAUUUCCCUGUUCGGACGCGCGUUGUGAAGGGGAUUCUCACCUCAUGUUGAGAAUCGCAUGAAGAAACCAAAGCAUGAAACGAACUGCCUAUUUACUGAGCAC